UUUCCGUAGGUGAACCUGCGGAAGGAUCAUUAUCGUACAAAAUGUGAGGGGCAUGCGAGGGCUGUCGCUGCCCCAAAAGUCGUGCACGCCCGAUGGUGUCCUCUUGCAUAAUAAUCCAUCUCACCCUUUGUGCAUCACCGCGUGGGCACCCUUCGGGAUCAUCUCGGAGGGGGGCUCGCGUUUUCACACAAACCCCCCUUUUAUAAGUAUAGAAGGACCACAUUUAUGCAAUCAAUACAACUUUCAACAACGGAUCUCUUGGUUCUC
rnacentral:misc_RNA from 1 species